UUAGGCGGACGGGUGAGUAACGCGUGGGGAACCUGCCUUGCACCGGGGGAUAACACUUAGAAAUAGGUGCUAAUACCGCAUAAGCGCACAGUCUCGCAUGAGACGGUGUGAAAAACUCCGGUGGUAUACGAUGGAUCCGCGUCUGAUUAGCUUGUUGGCGGGGUAACAGCCCACCAAGGCGACGAUCAGUAGCCGGCCUGAGAGGGUGAACGGCCACAUUGGGACUGAGACACGGCCCAAACUCCUACGGGAGGCAGCAG
rnacentral:rRNA from 1 species